rnacentral:rRNA from 1 species
GUGGGGAAUCUUGCACAAUGGGCGAAAGCCUGAUGCAGCGACGCCGCGUGGGGGAUGAAGCUUUUCGGAGUGUAAACCCCUUUCGACCCGGACGAAUGCCCCGCAAGGGGACUGACGGUACGGGUAUAAGAAGCCCCGGCUAACUACGUGCCAGCAGCCGCGGUAAGACGUGGGGGGCCAGCGUUGCUCGGAAUUACUGGGUGUAAAGGGUUCGUAGGCGGUGUGGCAAGUCGGGAGUGAAAUCUCUGGGCUUAACUCAGAGACUGCUUCCGAAACUGCUGUGCUUGAGUGUGGGAGAGGCGCGUGGAAUUGCAGGUGUAGCGGUGAAAUGCGUAGAUAUCUGCAGGAACACCCGUGGCGAAAGCGGCGCGCUGGACCACUACUGACGCUGAGGAACGAAAGCUAGGGGAGCAAACAGGAUUAGAUACCCUAGUAGUCC